GGUGCUAAUACCGCAUAACCAUAGUUACCGCAUGGUAACUAUGUAAAAGGUGGCUAUACUACCGCUUUUGGAUGGGCCCGCGGCGCAUUAGCUAGUUGGUAGGGUAAAGGCUUACCAAGGCAAUGAUGCGUAGCCGAAUUGAGAGGUUGAUCGGCCACAUUGGGACUGAGACACGGCCCAAACUCCUACGGGAGGCAGCAGUAGGGAAUCUUCCACAAUGGGCGAAAGCCUGAUGGAGCAACGCCGCGUGGGUGAAGAAGGUCUUCGGAUCGUAAAACCCUGUUGUUAGAGAAGAAAGUGCGUGAGAGUAACUGUUCACGUUUCGACGGUAUCUAACCAGAAAGCCACGGCUAACUACGUGCCAGCAGCCGCGGUAAUACGCAGGUGGCAAGCGUUAUCCGGAUUUAUUGGGCGUAAAGGGAACGCAGGCGGUCUUUUAAGUCUGAUGUGAAAGCCUUCGGCUUAACCGGAGUAGUGCAUUGGAAACUGGGAGACUUGAGUGCAGAAGAGGAGAGUGGAACUCCAUGUGUAGCGGUGAAAUGCGUAGAUAUAUGGAAGAACACCAGUGGCGAAAGCGGCUCUCUGGUCUGUAACUGACGCUGAGGUUCGAAAGCGUGGGUAGCAAACAGGAUUAGAUACCCUGGUAGUCCACGCCGUAAACGA
rnacentral:rRNA from 1 species